rnacentral:rRNA from 1 species
AAAUUGAAGAGUUUGAUCAUGGCUCAGAUUGAACGCUGGCGGCAGGCCUAACACAUGCAAGUCGAACGGUAACAGGAAGCAGCUUGCUGCUUCGCUGACGAGUGGCGGACGGGUGAGUAAUGUCUGGGAAACUGCCUGAUGGAGGGGGAUAACUACUGGAAACGGUAGCUAAUACCGCAUAACGUCGCAAGACCAAAGAGGGGGACCUUCGGGCCUCUUGCCAUCGGAUGUGCCCAGAUGGGAUUAGCUAGUAGGUGGGGUAACGGCUCACCUAGGCGACGAUCCCUAGCUGGUCUGAGAGGAUGACCAGCCACACUGGAACUGAGACACGGUCCAGACUCCUACGGGAGGCAGCAGUGGGGAAUAUUGCACAAUGGGCGCAAGCCUGAUGCAGCCAUGCCGCGUGUAUGAAGAAGGCCUUCGGGUUGUAAAGUACUUUCAGCGGGGAGGAAGGUGUUGAGGUUAAUAACCUCAGCAAUUGACGUUACCCGCAGAAGAAGCACCGGCUAACUCCGUGCCAGCAGCCGCGGUAAUACGGAGGGUGCAAGCGUUAAUCGGAAUUACUGGGCGUAAAGC